rnacentral:rRNA from 1 species
GUGUCAGCAGCCGCGGUAAUACGGAAGGUGCGAGCGUUAAUCGGAAUUACUGGGCGUAAAGCGCGCGUAGGCGGUUUGUUAAGUCAGAUGUGAAAGCCCCGGGCUUAACCUGGGAAUUGCAUUUGAAACUGGCAGGCUCGAGUAUGGGAGAGGGAAGUGGAAUUCCGGGUGUAGCGGUGAAAUGCGUAGAUAUCCGGAGGAACACCAGUGGCGAAGGCGGCUUCCUGGACCAAUACUGACGCUGAGGUGCGAAAGCGUGGGGAGCAAACAGGAUUAGAAACCCGCGUAGUCC